rnacentral:rRNA from 1 species
GUAGUAUUUAUUAGAUUGAAACCAACCGCUUUGGGGUGAUGUGGUGAUUCAUAAUAAGCUUGCAGAUCACAUGGCUUUGCUGGUAAUGGAUCAUUCAAGUUUCUGCCCUAUCAGCUUUGGAUGGUAAUGUAUUGGAUUACAGUGGCUUUAAUGGGUAACAGGGGAUUAGGGUUUGAUUCUGGAGAGGGCACCUGAGAGAUGGCAACCACAUCCAAGGAAGGCAGCAGGUGUAUAAAUUACCCAAUCCUGUUAAUUACCCAAUUCUGACACAGGGAGGUAGUGACAAAAAAUAACAAUGGUGGGCCUUUCUAGGUCUGCAACCAAUUGGAGGGCAAGUCUGGUGCCAGCAGCCAUGGUAAUUCCAGCUCCAAUAGCAUAUAUUAAAGUUGUUUCAGUUAAAAAGCUUGUAGUUAGAUUUGUGGUGGUGCCCAAGGUCUAUUUGUUAGUGCUAUUGGGUGCUGCUAUCCUUGGGUGGAACCUGUGUGGCAUUAGGUUGUCAUGCAGGGGAUGCCCAUCAUUUACUGUGAAAAAAUCAGCAUAUUUAAAGCAGGCUUAUGCCAUUGAAUGUAUUAGCAU